rnacentral:rRNA from 1 species
GAGAGGACGACCAGCCACACUGGGACUGAGACACGGCCCAGACUCCUACGGGAGGCAGCAGUGGGGAAUUUUCCGCAAUGGGCGAAAGCCUGACGGAGCAAUACCGCGUGAGGGAUGAAGGCUCGUUGGGUUGUUAAACCUCUUUUCUUAGGGAAGAAGCUCUGACGGUACCUAAGGAAUAAGCAUCGGCUUAACUCCGUGCCAGCAGCCGCGGUAAUACGGAGGAUGCAAGCGUUAUCCGGAAUCACUGGGCGUAAAGCGUCUGUAGGUUGCUUAGUAAGUCUGCUGUUAAAGAUUGGGGCUCAACCCCAAAACAGCAGUGGAAACUGUUAAGCUAGAGUAUGGUAAGGGUUAAAGGGAAUUCCCAGUGUAGCGGUGAAAUGCGUAGAUAUUGGGAAGAACACCAGAGGCGAAAGCGCCUUUACUAGACCAUUGCUGACACUCAGAGACGAAAGCUAGGGGAGCGAAUGGGAUUAGAUACCCCAGUAGUCCUAGCCGUAAACGAUGGAUACUAGAUGUUGCGCGUAUUGACCCGUGCAGUAUCGUAGCUAACGCGUUAAGUAUCCCGCCUUGGGGAGUACGCUCGCGAGAGAAACUCAAAGGAAUUGACGGGGGCCCGCACAAGCGGUGGAGCAUGUGGUUUAAUUCGAUGCAACGCGAAGAACCUUACCAGGACUUGACAUGUCACAAAUUUUCUUGAAAAAGGAAAGUGCCUUUAGGAAUGUGAACACAGGUGGUGCAUGGCUGUCGUCAGCUCGUGUCGUGAGAUGUUGGGUUAAGUCCCGCAACGAGCGCAACCCUUGUCUUUAGUUGCCAUCAUUAAGUUGGGCACUCUAAAGAGACUGCCGGUGACAAACCGGAGGAAGGUGAGGAUGACGUCAAGUCAGCAUGCCCCUUAUGUUCUGGGCUACACACGUGCUACAAUGGUCGUGACAAAGAGUUGCCAACUUGUGAAAGCUAGCUAAUCUCAUAAACACGACCUCAGUUCGGAUUGCAGGCUGCAACUCGCCUGCAUGAAGGUGGAAUCGCUAGUAAUCGGCCGGUCAGCUACACGGCGGUGAAGAGGAUGACGUCAAGUCAGCAUGCCCCUUAUGUCCUGGGCUACACACGUGCUACAAUGGUCGUGACAAAGAGUUGCAAACUUGUGAAAGAUAGCUAAUCUCGUAAACACGGCCUAAGUUCGGAUUGCAGGCUGCAACUCGCCUGCAUGAAGGUGGAAUCGCUAGUAAUCGCCGGUCAGCUACACGGCGGUGAAUCCGUUCCCGGGCCUUGUACACACCGCCCGUCACACCAUGGGAGCUGGCCACGCCCGAAGUCGUUACCCUAACCUUUUGGAGGGGGGCGCCUAAGGUAGGGCUAGUGACUGGGGUGAAGUCGUAACAAGGUAGCCGUACUGGAAGGUGCGGCUGGAUCACCUCCUUUUAGGGAAUAUAUAUAUCUAUUUAUUCUAGGUCUUAAUAAGUACUUUUACUUAGCCAAAUUACUUUGGU